GAUGAACGCUGGCGGCGUGCCUAAUACAUGCAAGUCGAGCGAACGGACGAGAAGCUUGCUUCUCUGAUGUUAGCGGCGGACGGGUGAGUAACACGUGGAUAACCUACCUAUAAGACUGGGAUAACUUCGGGAAACCGGAGCUCAUACCGGAUAAUAUUUUGAACCGCAUGGUUCAAAAGUGAAAGACGGUCUUGCUGUCACUUAUAGAUGGAUCCGCGCUGCAUUAGCUAGUUGGUAAGGUAACGGCUUACCAAGGCAACGAUGCAUAGCCGACCUGAGAGGGUGAUCGGCCACACUGGAACUGAGACACGGUCCAGACUCCUACGGGAGGCAGCAGUAGGGAAUCUUCCGCAAUGGGCGAAAGCCUGACGGAGCAACGCCGCGUGAGUGAUGAAGGUCUUCGGAUCGUAAAACUCUGUUAUUAGGGAAGAACAUAUGUGUAAGUAACUGUGCACAUCUUGACGGUACCUAAUCAGAAAGCCACGGCUAACUACGUG
rnacentral:rRNA from 1 species